GAAAAACAGUGAAGUGAAAUCAUGGUUGGGAGGGGAGUAGCAAGGGAAGCCUUCAAACACAGCUCACCAGUCAGUGAGAUGGAGUGACUCCAAGGCAGUGAAGAGACUCACUCUGUGAAAGAGGCUGAUCUCAAAUGGAGAGAAACUUCUGUAAAGGAGAGAGAGGAGGAGAACAUGCAGAGCUGGGCGAUGACCAAAAUGGGGACCACACUUUCCUCAAAAAAGAAGCAUCAGCAAUUGAAAAUCACACAAAAGUGUCAUUUGGAAUAUCUCCAUGUAAACAUGUACAGUACCGUGCAAAAGUCUUAACUAACACAAAAAUUCACUGAUAUCUUGCUGGAUGGCUAGAUGAGCAUCAUUCCAGUUCCCAAACCUCUCCUCAGCCAUUCCAUGUAUUUGUUACAUUUCACCACCAGCUCACUUAAUUAAUUAAUUGAAUUAGUUUGAAAAAGUCAAUGGCAUAUUAAUUAGCCAUAUGAGGCGUGCUAGGGGUCGAGUCAAAAAACAUGGGUGUAUUAGAUGGCUGCUGUAAAUGCUGUGCUGACUUUAGGAGAUGUUUUGAAAUGGUUAAGCUGACUAACUUAGACAAGCACAAUAGUAUGGUUUUACACCAGCAUGAAGAUCAUUUAAAUAUCACUCUCUUUGGCUGCCUAAGACUUAUGCACAUACUGUAUGGGCAGAGCUGGACAUUCUGGGGGCCGUGAUAAAAUGUCACCUUGGAGUUUUCAAUCUGAAGAAAUAUGGACCCCCUGUGGUAGAAUUUGCCAAGCAGAGGUUCCACAAGCAUAUAAGUUAAUGUUAUUUUUUCUUAUUCGGAGGCACCUAUAAAAUGCUGGGCCCUUUGAACCCGCCAUGGUGUCUAAGCCCCUAUAGCACCCCCUGCCAGCAGGCAUUAUGCAUAGCGUGUGGGAGGUGAGACAGACCCAUGCCUUUCCCUGCAGCAGGGCCACUAGAGAGGAAAUCACAAUCAUCAUAAUUGUAAAUGUAAUCAUAAUAAUAAUUAUAAGAGGAGGAGGAGGAGGAGGAAGAAGAAGAGAACUAGAGACUGGCUUGAGAAAACAGCAUUUCCCUGUUGAUAGACAGGGGGCACGGUUAUGUGCCUGCUGAAGAGAGUCAGCAGUCAGCAGCACGGAGAUGGUGAAGGCGGCUGCUGAUCACUGCUGGCUCAGCUCGCCGCCUCUCAUGGCGCAGGGGACUGUGGUGGUCCCUAGGCCCCCCCUGUCGCCAGUUCGCUACAGAAAAGUCUGUUUACAUAAAAUACUCACCAAAAGUCUUUUAUAA